ACUGUACUCUCUCUUUGCUGGGAUGAGUUUCUUAGGUUCUUCUUGACCAACUUUGUUACUUUGGCAUAAAGGAUCUCCAGUAUCCAUGCUCCGGUUAUGUAGUCAAGUUCUUGUUUAUAUCUUCUUCAGAUGUACAGUACGUUAGUGCUUUUUUAAAAAAAACACUAAUGUAUUGUAACAUCUGAAUGAACAUCUGAACAGCCUAAAUGCUGUUCUUUUGUAAUUGAUGGGGUCACUUGACCAGUUGGGGAUGAGUACUGGCAUAUAUGUUGGCUUUUUGUACACUUUGGUCUUUGUUGCCUGUUGCAUAAACUUAUAUUUAGGUCUAAGUAGUGAAUGUUAUGUGUUGUGCUGCUCCUUCUUUAACGCUAUUCCAUAUGUCUGUAUUGUGAAGACACUUAUGAACUCCUCUAAUUUACUGUCUAAAGCAUUUAACGGCAGGCAGGUAAGCAACAUGAAC
rnacentral:lncRNA from 1 species